rnacentral:rRNA from 1 species
UACGGGGGGGGCAAGCGUUGUUCGGAAUUACUGGGCGUAAAGGGCUCGUAGGCGGCCAACUAAGUCACACGUGAAAUCCCUCGGCUCAACCGGGGAACUGCGUGUGAGACUGGAUGGCUUGAGUUUGGGAGAGGAAUGCGGAAUUCCAGGUGUAGCGGUGAAAUGCGUAGAUAUCGGGAGGAACACCGGUGGCGAAGGCGGGUCUCUGGGCCGAUACUGACGCUGAGGAGCGAAAGCGUGGGGAGCGAACAGG